rnacentral:rRNA from 1 species
CUACGGGUGGCUGCAGUGGGGAAUUUUGCGCAAUGGGCGAAAGCCUGACGCAGCAACGCCGCGUGAGCGAUGAAGGUUUUCGGAUCGUAAAGCUCUGUCAGAUGGGAAGAAGAACAUGACGGUACCAUCAGAGGAAGCCCCGGCUAACUCCGUGCCAGGCAGCCGCGGUAAUACGGAGGGGGCGAGCGUUGUUCGGAAUUAUUGGGCGUAAAGCGUAUGUAGGUGGUUUGACAAGUCAGACGUGUAAGCCCACGGCUCAACCGUGGAAUUGCGUUUGAAACUAUCUAACUUGAGUGCAGAAGAGGAAAGCGGAAUUUCCAGUGUAGCGGUGAAAUGCGUUGAUAUUGGGAAGAACACCUGCGGCGAAGGCGGCUUUCUGGUCUGCUACUGACACUGAGAUACGAAAGCCAGGGGAGCAAACGGGAUUAGAUACCCCGGUAGUC